rnacentral:rRNA from 1 species
UGAGGAAUAUUGGUCAAUGGGCGUAAGCCUGAACCAGCCAAGUCGCGUGAAGGAUGACUGCCCUAUGGGUUGUAAACUUCUUUUGUAAGGGGAGAAUAAAUUCUACGUGUAGGAUGAUGACAGUACCUUACGAAUAAGCAUCGGCUAACUCCGUGCCAGCAGCCGCGGUAAUACGUAGGGGGCAAGCGUUAUCCGGAUUUACUGGGUGUAAAGGGAGCGUAGACGGUACUGCAAGUCUGAAGUGAAAGCCCGGGGCUCAACCCCGGGACUGCUUUGGAAACUGUGGAACUAGAGUGUCGGAGAGGUAAGUGGAAUUCCUAGUGUAGCGGUGAAAUGCUUAGAUAUCACGAAGAACUCCGAUUGCGAAGGCAGCUCACUAGACUGUAACUGACACUGAUGCUCGAAAGUGUGGGUAUCAAACA